GGAUCAACAGAAACUUCAAAUAUCUUCAGUGAGUUGACUGAUAGUGUAAAUGUUGUUGGUGUUCAGAAAAAUGAGAAGGAUGAGCAAAAAUCUGGCAGUGGCUCAGUAUCGUAUGCAGAUUCUGCUGAUGAAAACCUAUGCAAAUCAGAGAUUGAAACUUCUGGAAGGAAUGGUUCUGUAGAGAUGGUUCAGGGUGGUGGAGCAGACGGG
rnacentral:misc_RNA from 1 species